UACGUAGGGUGCGAGCGUUGUCCGGAAUUAUUGGGCGUAAAGGGCUCGUAGGCGGUCUGUCGCGUCAGGAGUGAAAACUCGGGGCUUAACCCCGAGCCUGCUUCUGAUACGGGCAGACUAGAGGUAUGCAGGGGAGAACGGAAUUCCUGGUGUAGCGGUGAAAUGCGCAGAUAUCAGGAGGAACACCGGUGGCGAAGACGGUUCUCUGGGCAUUACCUGACGCUGAGGAGCGAAAGUGUGGGGAGCGAACAGG
rnacentral:rRNA from 1 species